CCUGGCUCAGGAUGAACGCUAGCGGCAGGCCUAACACAUGCAAGUCGAGGGGCAGCAGGAGGUAGCAAUACCUUGUGGCGACCGGCGCACGGGUGCGUAACGCGUAUGCAACCUACCCAUAACAGGGGGAUAACGGAGGGAAACUUCCACUAAUACCCCGUAUUGACACUUCGCCGCAUGGCGGGGUGACGAAAGCCUUUUUGGUGGUUAUGGAUGGGCAUGCGUGGCAUUAGGUAGUGGCGGGGCAACGGCCCACCAAGCCCACGAUGCCUAGGGGAGCUGAGAGGCUAAUCCCCCCACACUGGUACUGAGACACGGACCAGACUCCUACGGGAGGCAGCAGUGAGGAAUAUUGGUCAAUGGAGGGAACUCUGAACCAGCCAUGCCGCGUGAGGGAUGAAGGCCCCCUAUGGGUUGUAAACCUCUUUUGCCUGGGGGGCAAUAAGGCUCAUGCGUGGGCUGAUGAGAGUACCAGGCGAAUAAGCAUCGGCUAACUCCGUGCCAGCAGCAGC
rnacentral:rRNA from 1 species